rnacentral:misc_RNA from 1 species
GGAGGUUUGAGCAUUGUACAUUACUUUUGUUGUAUAAUUUGUUUGUUUCCCAUUCAAUUUGUUGGUUUACAUUUAUGUAUUGUUCAGUAAAUUCAGUAUCCAUAUUUCUGUUGCAGUUAUGGUGUUCUAAAGCAUAAAUAUGCCUGAAGUCCAAUUUCAUAAGAUGUUGCAUCUCCAUUUUGUUCUUACUAAUAUUUGCAUGGAAGUGA